UGCAGUCGAGCGCGAAAGGCUUUCGGGCUGAGUAGAGCGGCGGACGGGUGAGUAACGCGUAGGAAUCUACCUGGUAGUGGGGGACAACUUGGGGAAACUCAAGCUAAUACCGCAUACGCCCUAAGGGGGAAAGCGGGGGACCUUCGGGCCUCGCGCUAUCAGAUGAGCCUGCGUAGGAUUAGCUUGUUGGUGAGGUAAAGGCUCACCAAGGCGACGAUCCUUAGCUGGUCUGAGAGGAUGAUCAGCCACACUGGGACUGAGACACGGCCCAGACUCCUACGGGAGGCAGCAGUGGGGAAUAUUGCGCAAUGGGGGCAACCCUGACGCAGCCAUGCCGCGUGUGUGAAGAAGGCCUUCGGGUUGUAAAGCACUUUAAGUGGGGAGAAAAGGGUAGCGGUUAAUAGCCGUUACCUGUGAUGUUACCCACAGAAUAAGCACCGGCUAACUCCGUGCCAGCAGCCGCGGUAAUACGGAGGGUGCGAGCGUUAAUCGGAAUUACUGGGCGUAAAGCGCGCGUAGGCGGUUUGUUAAGUCAGCUGUGAAAGCCCCGGGCUCAACCUGGGAACUGCAGUUGAUACUGGCCGACUGGAGUACGAGAGAGGGAGGUAGAAUUCCAUGUGUAGCGGUGAAAUGCGUAGAUAUAUGGAGGAAUACCGGUGGCGAAGGCGGCCUCCUGGCUCGAUACUGACGCUGAGGUGCGAAAGCGUGGGGAUCAAACAGGAUUAGAUACCCUGGUAGUCCACGCCGUAAACGAUGUCUACUAGCCGUUGGGAGACUUGAUUUCUUAGUGGCGCAGCUAACGCAAUAAGUAGA
rnacentral:rRNA from 1 species